CCCGGUGAACUGUACGUUCCAGUGCGGAGUCUGGAGACCCCCAAGGGGAAGCGAAGACCCUAUAGAGCUUUACUGCAGGCUGUCACUGAGACGUGGUCGCCAUUGUGCAGCAUAGGUAGGAGACAUUACACAGGUACCCGCGCUAGCGGGCCACCGAGUCAGCAUUGAAAUACUACCCGAUGGUGACUGCGACUCUCACUCCUGGCGGAGGACACUGGUAGCCGGGCAGUUUGACUGGGGCGGUACGCGCUUGAAAAGAUAUCGAGC
rfam:Natrinema versiforme JCM 10478 contig_67, whole genome shotgun sequence.